CCUCCUGGUGCUGGCUCUGCCCCCCAUGUCCCAUGCCCCAAGUAGGGGGCGAGACUCAAGCACUGGCAGG
ensembl:miRNA